rnacentral:rRNA from 1 species
AGGAUGAACGCUGGCGGCGUGCCUAAUACAUGCAAGUCGAGCGAACUGAAGAGGAGCUUGCUCCUUUGACGUUAGCGGCGGACGGGUGAGUAACACGUGGGUAACCUACCUAUAAGACUGGAAUAACUCCGGGAAACCGGGGCUAAUGCCGGAUAAUAUGUUGAACCGCAUGGUUCAACAGUGAAAGACGGUUUUGCUGUCACUUAUAGAUGGACCCGCGCCGCAUUAGCUAGUUGGUGAGGUAACGGCUCACCAAGGCGACGAUGCGUAGCCGACCUGAGAGGGUGAUCGGCCACACUGGAACUGAGACACGGUCCAGACUCCUACGGGAGGCAGCAGUAGGGAAUCUUCCGCAAUGGACGAAAGUCUGACGGAGCAACGCCGCGUGAGUGAUGAAGGUCUUCGGAUCGUAAAGCUCUGUUGUUAGGGAAGAACAAAUGUGUAAGUAACUGUGCACAUCUUGACGGUACCUAACCAGAAAGCCACGGCUAACUACGUGCCAGCAGCCGCGGUAAUACGUAGGUGGCAAGCGUUAUCCGGAAUUAUUGGGCGUAAAGCGCGCGUAGGCGGUUUUUUAAGUCUGAUGUGAAAGCCCACGGCUCAACCGUGGAGGGUCAUUGGAAACUGGAAAACUUGAGUGCAGAAGAGGAAAGUGGAAUUCCAUGUGUAGCGGUGAAAUGCGCAGAGAUAUGGAGGAACACCAGUGGCGAAGGCGGCUUUCUGGUCUGCAACUGACGCUGAUGUGCGAAAGCGUGGGGAUCAAACAGGAUUAGAUACCCUGGUAGUCCACGCCGUAAACGAUGAGUGCUAAGUGUUAGGGGGUUUCCGCCCCUUAGUGCUGCAGCUAACGCAUUAAGCACUCCGCCUGGGGAGUACGGUCGCAAGACUGAAACUCAAAGGAAUUGACGGGGACCCG